UACGUAGGGUGCAAGCGUUGUCCGGAAUUAUUGGGCGUAAAGAGCUCGUAGGCGGUCUGUCGCGUCUGCUGUGAAAACUCGGGGCUUAACCCCGGGCCUGCAGUGGGUACGGGCAGACUAGAGUGCGGUAGGGGAGACUGGAAUUCCUGGUGUAGCGGUGAAAUGCGGCAGAUAUCAGGAGGAACACCGGUGGCGAAGGCGGGUCUCUGGGCCGAUAACUGACGCU
rnacentral:rRNA from 1 species